rnacentral:rRNA from 1 species
CGGACGGGUGAGUAACGCGUGAGAAUCUGCCUUCAGGAUGGGGACAACAGCGGGAAACUGCUGCUAAUACCCAAUGUGCCGAAAGGUGAAAGUAAUUCGCCUGGAGAGGAGCUCGCGUCUGAUUAGCUAGUUGGUAGAGUAAAAGCCUACCAAGGCAACGAUCAGUAGCUGGUCUGAGAGGAUGAGCAGCCACACUGGGACUGAGACACGGCCCAGACUCCUACGGGAGGCAGCAGUGGGGAAUUUUCCGCAAUGGGCGAAAGCCUGACGGAGCAAUACCGCGUGAGGGAGGAAGGUUCAAGUAAUUGUAAACCUCUUUUAUCAGGGAAGAAAAAAAUGACGGUACCUGAUGAAAAAGCAUCGGCUAACUCCGUGCCAGCAGCCGCGGUAAUACGGAGGAUGCAAGCGUUAUCCGGAAUUAUUGGGCGUAAAGCGUCCGCAGGUGGUGGUACAAGUCUGCUGUCAAAGACCAGAGCUCAACUCUGGGCAGGCGGUGGAAACUGUAACACUAGAGACCGGUAGGGGUAGAGGGAAUUCCCAGUGUAGCGGUGAAAUGCGUAGAGAUUGGGAAGAACACCAGUGGCGAAGGCGCUCUACUGGGCCGGAACUGACACUAAGGGACGAAAGCUAGGGGAGCGAAAGGGAUUAGAUACCCCUGUAGUC